CCUACGGGAGGCAGCAGUGAGGAAUAUUGGUCAAUGGGCGGGAGCCUGAACCAGCCAAGCCGCGUGAGGGAAGAAGGUACAGCGUAUCGUAAACCUCUUUUGGCAGGGAACAAAGGCGGGGACUAGUCCCCGGAUGAGGGUACCUGAAGAAAAAGCAUCGGCUAAAUCCGUGCCAGCAGCCGCGGUAAUACGGAGGAUGCGAGCGUUAUCCGGAUUGAUUGGGUUUAAAGGGUGCGCAGGCGGCCUGUUAUGUCAGCGGUAAAAGCCCGGGGCUCAACCCCGGCGAGCCGUUGAAACUGGCGGGCUGGAGUUGGAGAGAGGUACGCGGAAUGCGCGGUGUAGCGGUGAAAUGCUUAGAUAUCGCGCAGAACCCCGAUUGCGAGGGCAGCGUACCGGCUCCACACUGACGCUGAGGCACGAAAGCGUGGGUAUCGAACAGGAUUAGAUACCCCAGUAGUC
rnacentral:rRNA from 1 species